rnacentral:tRNA from 1 species
UUAAUUGAAGCCAAAAAGAGGCGUAUUACUGUUAAUAAUAUAAUUGAAUUAAUUAAUUCCAUUAAG